GACAUAGGUGGCGAACGUUAUCCGGAAUUAUUGGGCGUAAAGCGCGCGUAGGUGGCCUCAUAAGUCCGCUGUGAAAGUCAAAGGCUCAACCUUUGAAAGCCGGUGGAUACUGUGGGGCUAGAGUACGGAAGAGGCGAGUGGAAUUCCUGGUGUAGCGGUGGAAUGCGCAGAUAUCAGGAGGAACACCAAUAGCGAAGGCAGCUCGCUGGGACGUUACUGACACUGAGGCGCGAAAGCGUGGGGAGCGAACAGG
rnacentral:rRNA from 1 species